rnacentral:tmRNA from 1 species
GGGGAUGUCUUGGCUUCGACACAAGUAAAUUGGCACUGGUUGCAGUCGAGUUGUGACGUAAUCACAAUCUAAAAUUAUCUGGCAACAGAAAUUAUAACUACGCAUUUGCUGCUUAAUCAGCACUCACUAUAGAGUUUGCGGGAGCUUAGAUAAUUGGCUUCUUGUUAUCUAAAGCUUCUCAUAAAAAGAAGAUAAGCUUAAUUCGAUGAUUAUAGAAUUAGGACGAAAAAAUAUAAUCUAGCGAUGUAAAGUUUGUGAGGUUUGAUAAGUCGUGAAAUUUAAAACAUUCACUAAACUGUAGUAGCCACUGUAGAUAUACUUGUGGACCAGGGUUCAACUCCCUGCAUCUCCACCA